rfam:Picea glauca, whole genome shotgun sequence.
GUAAUGGUGUCUUUAGACACCACCCUUAUCUUCAAAUUUUUUGUU